UACGUAGGGGGCAAGCGUUGUCCGGAUUUAUUGGGCGUAAAGAGCGUGUAGGCGGCCAAGCAGGUCAGCUGUGAAAACUCGAGGCUCAACCUCGAGACGUCGGUUGAAACCGCUUGGCUAGAGUCCGGAAGAGGAGAGUGGAAUUCCCGGUAUAGCGGUGAAAUGCGCAGAUAUCGGGAAGAACACCCGUGGCGAAGGCGGCUCUCUGGGACGGUACUGACGCUGAGACGCGAAAGCGUGGGGAGCGAACAGG
rnacentral:rRNA from 1 species